rnacentral:lncRNA from 1 species
AAGAGGGAAGAUGGCGGCGGCCGUGAACCAGCGUGGCCUUAACCAGCCAUAGUUAUGAUAUUAUAAGACCUGUGGGUGUCUGCCUGACCUGUAGUCUGAAGAUGCUCUUUCUGAAGUCUUAGGAGGGCCCCUCAGUGAGGAUGCCCGAAGCUGAAGGCUUUACUUCUGUUUCAAGGACUGGAUGUGUCAUCACUAUCACCAUCAUCAACACCACCACCACCACCAGCAGCAGCAGCAACAAAGAUAAACUCACUUGUUAGAGUGAAGACUAACAGGAUUACCAGAAGGAGCCACCUACUCAGUGCAGUGAACAAGACGUGUGGUCUGAAGAUACACAACACCGAGACAGGACUGUGUGGUGCUCACAUGCCACGAGCAGAGUUCAAACAGCAUCCAAGCCCUAAAGACCAGAGCCAUGGACCAAUAUGGUGGAUGGCAUGUGUGCGCUUGUUCCAGAAGUGCUACUCAUCAUGGAGGCAAAUCCUGUGAGGACGUGGAAGACUUCACCUG